UGAGUAGCUGGUACCACAGAGGACCUGACUGGAACACUGAAUUGUAUAAUGAACGGAGUGCUACAGUGAGAGAGCUUCUUACCGAGCUGUAUGGCAAAGUGGGAGAAAUUCGUCACUGGGGCCUGAUCCGAUACAUUUCUGGGAUCUUAAGGAAGAAAGUGGAAGCACUUGAUGAGGCCUGCACAGACCUUCUCUCCCACCAGAAACAUUUGACAGUAGGACUUCCUCCAGAACCUCGAGAAAAGACUAUCUCUGCACCUCUGCCCUAUGAGGCGCUCACUCAGC
rnacentral:lncRNA from 1 species